GCCAGGCGCAGUGGCGUGUGCCUGUAGUCCCAGCUACCCGGGAGGCUGAGGUGGGAGGAGCACUUGAGCCCAGGAGUUCUGGGCUGUAGUGCACUAUGCCAAUUGGGUGUCCACACUAAGUUCGGCAUCAAUAUGGUUACCUCCCGGGAGCAGGGGACCACCAGGUUGCCUAAGUAAGGGUGAAUCGGCCCAGGUCCAAAACGGAGCAGGUCAAAAACUUUCAUGCUGAUCAGUAGUGGGAUCGCACCUGUGAACAGCCACUGCACUCCAGCCUGGGUAACAGAGCGAGACCCCACCUCU
rnacentral:SRP_RNA from 1 species